rnacentral:tRNA from 1 species
GGCACGGUGGCAGAAUGGUUAUGCAGAGGACUGCAAAUCCUUGCACGCCGGUUCGAUUCCGACCCGUGCCUCCA